UUAGGGCGCGGUCGGAGGAACAGGUGGGAACUUCUUACCCUUUUCAAAUAUCUCUUUUCACGUUUCACAGGGUACAAAAUGGCGCCUAGAAUUCCGGCGCC
ensembl:ncRNA F55G1.19 ncRNA